rnacentral:rRNA from 1 species
AUAUCAAUAAGCGGAGGAAAAGAAACUAACAAGGAUUCCCCUAGUAACUGCGAGUGAAGCGGGAAAAGCUCAAAUUUAAAAUCUGGCAGUCUCUGAUUGUCCGAGUUGUAAUUUAGAGAAGUGUUACCCGUGCUGGACCAUGUUUAAGUCUUCUGGAAUGAAGCGUCAUAGAGGGUGAGAAUCCCGUCUUUAACAUGGACUACCAGUGCAUUGUGGUAUGCUCUCAACGAGUCGAGUUGUUUGGGAAUGCAGCUCAAAAUGGGUGGUAAAUUCCAUCUAAAGCUAAAUACAGACGAGAGACCGAUAGCGCACAAGUA